CCUACGGGAGGCUGCAGUGAGGAAUAUUGCUCAAUGGGCGCGAGCCUGAACCAGCCACGCAGCGUGAAGGAUGACUGUCUUCCGGGUUGUAAACUUUUUUUAUAAAGGAGUAAAGUGAGGCACGUGUGCCUUAUUGUAUGUACUUUAUGAAUAAGGCACGGCUAACUCCGUGCCAGCAGCCGCGGUAAUACGGAGGAUCCGAGCGUUAUCCGGAUUUAUUGGGUUUAAAGGGAGCGUAGAUGGGUUGUUAAGUCAGUUGUGAAAGUUUGCGGCUCAACCGUAAAAUUGCAAUUGAUACUGGCAGCCUUGAGUACAGUUGAGGUAGGCGGAAUUCGUGGUGUAGCGGUGAAAUGCUUAGAUAUCACGAAGAACUCCGAUUGCGAAGGCAGCUUACUAGACUGCCACUGACAUUGAUGCUCGAAAGUGUGGGUAUCAAACAGGAUUAGAUACCCGUGUAGUC
rnacentral:rRNA from 1 species